rnacentral:rRNA from 1 species
UACAGAGGGUGCGAGCGUUAAUCGGAAUUACUGGGCGUAAAGCGCGUGUAGGUGGUGGGACAAGUCUGCUGUGAAAGCGCCUGGCUUAACCGGGCGAGGUCGGCGGAAACUGUCCGACUAGAGGACGGUAGAGGGGGGUGGAAUUCCCGGUGUAGUGGUGAAAUGCGUAGAGAUCGGGAGGAACACCUGUGGCGAAGGCGGCCCCCUGGGCCGGCCCUGACACUGAGACGCGAAGGCGUGGGGAGCGAACGGG